rnacentral:rRNA from 1 species
AUGGCUCGUAACACCUUGAUGAUGCUUGUUGCGUGAGAAAUUUGAAACGAGCGUAACACGAGGAUCUUCCGCAACAAAGCCGCCCCUACUACCGCCGUCAUUGCCAAGAUUAAGGAUAAAGCCUCUCUUUGGGCUCGUGCGGGUGCAAAGUAUUUGAGUAAUGUAAUGCCAGGUUUGGGUCGCGGAGGACACCAAACGGACGCGCGCCUCGUCCGCUUCGGGGCCGCGUGGCAGGCGGCCACCUACCUCCCACCCGCCCAUAUCAAUGCGCACGAGCGGGCGGCCCCACCUGUCAUCCGCACGUCGAACGGUCGUCGUCCUUCUUUAAGUGGGAAGCGUGGACGGGUCGUCGUCCACACUGCCCCACGCCACCCAGCGGCCUCCUCGAACCCCGACAACGCCGAACCCUAG